GAAAGCAUUUUGAUUAAUGGGCAUAAGGCAGAAAAAAAGACUGAGGCAAGUUUCAAAGCAGGAGUGGAAGUUAAUUAAAAAGCUGUAGAUCAGGAAGAAAGGAAAGUACAGUUGGAAGAGGCCCAAGGGGGCAUCUUGGAGGUCAAGUGUCCC